rnacentral:rRNA from 1 species
UACAGAGACUGCAAGCGUUAUUCGGAUUCACUGGGCGUAAAGGGUGCGCAGGCGGCCGUGUGUGUGGGGCGUGAAAGCCCGGGGCUUAACCCCGGAAUUGCACCUCAAACUACAUGGCUAGAGUACUGGAGAGGGUAACGGAAUUCACGGUGUAGCAGUGAAAUGCGUAGAUAUCGUGAGGAACACCAGAGGCGAAGGCGGUUACCUGGACAGUUACUGACGCUCAGGCACGAAAGCGUGGGGAGCAAAAGGG